rnacentral:rRNA from 1 species
GGGAUCGCCCUUAGAGUUUGAUCCUGGCUCAGGAUGAACGCUGGCGGCGUGCCUAAUACAUGCAAGUCGAGCGAAUGGAUUAAGAGCUUGCUCUUAUGAAGUUAGCGGCGGACGGGUGAGUAACACGUGGGUAACCUGCCCAUAAGACUGGGAUAACUCCGGGAAACCGGGGCUAAUACCGGAUAAUAUUUUGAACUGCAUGGUUCAAAAUUGAAAGGCGGCUUCGGCUGUCACUUAUGGAUGGACCCGCGUCGCAUUAGCUAGUUGGUGAGGUAACGGCUCACCAAGGCAACGAUGCGUAGCCGACCUGAGAGGGUGAUCGGCCACACUGGGACUGAGACACGGCCCAGACUCCUACGGGAGGCAGCAGUAGGGAAUCUUCCGCAAUGGACGAAAGUCUGACGGAGCAACGCCUCGUGAGUGAUGAAGGCUUUCGGGUCGNAAAACUCUGUUGUUAGGGAAGAACAAGUGCUAGUUGAAUAAGCUGGCACCUUGACGGUACCUAACCAGAAAGCCACGGCUAACUACGUGCCAGCAGCCGCGGUAAUACGUAGGUGGCAAGCGUUAUCCGGAAUUAUUGGGCGUAAAGCGCGCGCAGGUGGUUUCUUAAGUCUGAUGUGAAAGCCCACGGCUCAACCGUGGAGGGUCAUUGGAAA